ensembl:lncRNA
GAAAACUGUAGGCCACCUGAAAAUAAGUUUAAACAAGGUAAUAUGAAAUGAACCUAUAGUUUAUGGAGAAAGAAUGCAUUUAUAUUUGGCCAAGUUCACGACUCCUAACGUCUACUAAAAUUUCCUGCAAACAGAAGUCUAAUGAGGGUCUUGUCGACCAACUUGUCGAUACAGUCAAACGGAUAACGACGUGUUACAGUAUCAGCUGGUUGACAGUAUCUUUUUUCUGUACUUAAACACUUGGAAAAUAACUCGGUUAACUAGUAAAACAUGCAAAUAUGUAACAGGAAUAACUUUCACUGUUUGAAGAAAUUACCUGACACGGUUAGGCCUGCCUCAUUCUCGCUGUCCCUGUUCCUGAACACUACAGUAACCGGGCAUCUGAGAGGUCCUCGAUCCUGUCGCCAAGGUAACUACUGACGUUGCUGAAACAUGUGCUGCUCUCAUUACUAACAGGUGUGUAUCACAAUGUUGUGCUCGACCUCUCCAGAAUAUUUAGCAAUGUUUCCGUGGAUUUUCGCCAGUGUAUCGUUCUACAAACACAUUAAGAUAAAGGAAUGAUAUAAUGGGCAAAGGAGUUCUUUGUUACUUCUCAACAUCAAUUACAGUAAUGAGGUCCCAUCCAAGGUUGUGCCCAGAGGGUGUCAUCCCAGUGGAACAGAGGAAUACACUUCAGUGAUGAGACACAGUCAUGCCAUGGCUGGCAUCUUCACAGUCACAUGAUGAUGUUUACACAAUAACAAUGGGCUUCUUGUGUUUUCUGAGGUGAACAUAUGGAUAUGGAUCAAAUGGUUUUAACAAAAUCUAAUUGGGUACAACACAAAGAUUGUCUGUCUUGCAAGUGUCCCCCCUUUUUAACAUGAAUGUCCAGUCAUUCAUUAAAGAUGAUAAUAAUGGGUGAAAUAUAUUUGUUCCUGAAUUUAAAUAAUGUACAAAAGCAGAAAUGGGAUUGAUGGUACCUCCACAGCCUUUACCUCUGUUACCAAAAAUAAACAAAAUGUUUUUUUCUUGCUGAUUUAACACACAUUGAGCCAUUCAGUUUCUUGUACCUGUAAUGGUUAACAGUUACAAAUGUUUUCAAUAUUCAGACUGGUCUCAAGAAUGUGAUCAUUCUGAUUAUUUCAGGGUUCUUUUAUCCAGGCCAGGUCCACACAGGAUGAACACAUCUUUUACUGUACUUUCGUUAUUGUACUGUACUUGAUCACUGAACGAUGUUCAAUCUUGUAAAAGAUACUUGUGGUAAGCCUCAUUCUUAUUGUAUAAAAUAAUAAAAGGGUGAAAUCUUAAUGCAGUAUAGAGUUUUUGUAUUUGGUAUUUGUUAAUGCUUUCAUGCAACAAUAACACAUAACAGUUGAAAUAUACUGUACCUAACAAGCAAAAGUUGAUGUUAUUUUAAUUAAUUAUAACUCAUAUGACCCCCCAUAUAAUGUAAG